rnacentral:rRNA from 1 species
AGUGAACGCUGGCGGUAGGCCUAACACAUGCAAGUCGAACGGCAGCACAGUAAGAGCUUGCUCUUACGGGUGGCGAGUGGCGGACGGGUGAGGAAUACAUCGGAAUCUACUUUUUCGUGGGGAAUAACGUAGGGAAACUUACGCUAAUACCGCAUACGACCUACGGGUGAAAGCAGGGGAUCUUCGGACCUUGCGCGAUUGAAUGAGCCGAUGUCGGAUUAGCUAGUUGGCGGGGUAAAGGCCCACCAAGGCGACGAUCCGUAGCUGGUCUGAGAGGAUGAUCAGCCACACUGGAACUGAGACACGGUCCAGACUCCUACGGGAGGCAGCAGUGGGGAAUAUUGGACAAUGGGCGCAAGCCUGAUCCAGCCAUACCGCGUGGGUGAAGAAGGCCUUCGGGUUGUAAAGCCCUUUUGUUGGGAAAGAAAAGCAGCAGGUUAAUACCCCGCUGUUCUGACGGUACCCAAAGAAUAAGCGCCGGCUAACUUCGUG